rnacentral:rRNA from 1 species
AUACGGAGGGGGCUAGCGUUGUUCGGAAUUACUGGGCGUAAAGGGCGCGUAGGCGGAUUGUCAAGUCAGAGGUGAAAGCCCUGGGCUCAACCCGGGAACUGCCUUUGAAACUAACAGUCUUGAGUCCGAGAGAGGAUGGCGGAAUUCCCAGUGUAGAGGUGAAAUUCGUAGAUAUUGGGAAGAACACCAGUGGCGAAGGCGGCCAUCUGGCUCGGUACUGACGCUGAGGCGCGAAAGCGUGGGGAGCAAACAGGAUUAGAUACCCCAGUAGUCC